CUUAUGCAAUGAAAUGAUUGUCUUUCACUAACGACCCAUCUUAUGCACACACACAAAAAAAAAGAUCUCUACUCUGUUUGAUGUUGGCUAUCUGAGUCAGACUUUGCUUAAUAGUUUGAUGUAUGAUUAAUGAGAAAGCCAGGGUCUGCUUCCCAAGGUUCGGAUAGAAGAGGUGGGUUUGAUUACAGAAAAGAUGAAAUUAACCAGACACAUGAAAAGGUGAUUAGAACACUUGAAUCAUGCAACUUGAUAGGAAAACUCGGAACCUAACAUCAUCUUGGAGAUUGGGACUAGCAGAAGAGGUAACAUCAGGCUCUCAUGACGUCUCUGAUGCUGUGGAAACAUGACCAAAGAUCUCUGCAAGGGUUGUACCGGGUCAAGAGUUAUUCUGUUUCAGUAGAGAUCCUGAAGAAUGUUUCUUGCGAUUGUUUAUGAGAACUUUGUCGGCUGUGUUGUGCUUAUUGUAGAGAUUUGGGAUGCUCUUUAGCACUGAGGGGUUUGAUAUUUUUGCGAACGAUCGAGUAUUUGGAAUGGUCUCUUAAGUGGCUUCUGAAACUACACAAUAUCAGAGAUUACUGUGAAUUUAGCCAGUGUGUUAGUCUUGGAAGAUGCUUCGGUUGGACCGAAUUGAAAUAUAUGUAAACAUGAAUUAUAUAUAUAUAAUUAUUUUAUAGUCAAGGCAACCAUUAAAAAUCCAACUAUUUCUUUA